rnacentral:tRNA from 1 species
CCGGGCGUAGCGCAGAGGCAGGCGCACCGUCUUGCCCAGACGGGAUACGCCGGUUCGAAUCCGGUCGUCCGGG